UCGUUGUAGCAAUACGAUGGAAAGUUUAGUGGCGAACGGGUGCUUAACACGUGGGCAACCUGCCAGGAAGUGGGGGAUAGCUCGCCGAAAGGCGAAUUAAUACCGCAUGUGGUUAGAGAGGACAUCCUUUCGAAAUUAAAGUCGGGGCAACCUGACGCUUUUUGUGGGGCCCGCGGCCUAUCAGCUAGUUGGUGAGGUAACGGCCCACCAAGGCUUUGACGGGUAGCUGGUCUGAGAGGACGACCAGCCACACUGGGACUGAGACACGGCCCAGACACCUACGGGUGGCAGCAGUCGAGAAUUUUUGACAAUGGGGGAAACCCUGAUCGAGCGACGCCGCGUGGAGGAUGAAGGUCUUCGGAUUGUAAACUCCUGUCAUUGGGGAACAAUGCACAGAUAUUAACUGUAUUUGUGUUGAUAGUACCCGAAGAGGAAGAGACGGCUAACUCUGUGCCAGCAGCCGCGGUAAUACAGAGGUCUCAAGCGUUGUUCGGAUUCAUUGGGCGUAAAGGGUGCGUAGGCGGCGCGGUAAGUCGGGUGUGAAAUCUUGGAGCUUAACUCCGAAACUGCAUUCGAUACUGCCGUGCUUGAGGACUGGAGAGGAGACUGGAAUUCUCGGUGUAGCA
rnacentral:rRNA from 1 species